UUAAACAUUUCUAUUCAAAUUAAUUUCCUAAAAAUAGAAAUCAAUUUUCUGAAUUUUUGCCUAACUAAAGUGAAAUGACAAAACAACAAAAUGCCUUAAAAGAAUAAAAACUUCAUUUUUUUUGUUUUCUUUCUUUGCUCUUCACGUGUACCAGGAAGAAGGAAGCAAUUCCUUUCUUCCUCUCUUUCCCUCAAUUCGGUCUACAUUCAACCUUGAGCCCCAAGCAAAUCCUCCUUCUCAUUCACUCUAUUUGACUCUACAAAUCAGCCAUACAUGUCCAACUGAAUUCUAACCAAAAACAAUAAAAAACAAAAUCAAAUUUCAAUUUUUGCUUCUCUUGUUUCUGUGAUUCGAACCACCAAACCACCACCCACUCCAACCGCCAACUACCACCGCCGCUCCCAACCACCACAUCCACCUUGUAAACCAACAGCCGCCCCCAACAACUCCAGCGAACCGUUGCGCCGCCGCCCAGAACCAAACUGAAAUACCCCCCCUCCCCUGUUUUGCGCAACCUCUCCCAUGCCUUUGCUCUCCUUCACGCCCAGCCGUCGGCGCCGCCGUGCUGCCACGUUCCUCCUCCCUUCUCUUCUGUGCGCAAGCCACCAACACCGAAGCCGCCACACCGCAAGUCCGCAACCACCUCGUCACUUACCCCCGCCUCCACCUUCACCGUGAACCACGAUCCCUCCUCCCAGAACUGGCCGAAAAACAACCCACAAACUCCCCUGCUUUCCCCUUCGAUUCUCGACUCCGCCUCCUCUCGCCUCACUGCUCCGCCGUGAGCAGCCGCACAUCCACCACCAUCACCGGCGCCUCCUGGCGCGGCUACGGUGCAGCUGCGCCAUCCAGGACCCGAACCCAGCUUCCCCUCCCCUUCCUUUUCUCUUCCCUCCUCCCUUCCCCUCCCCUGUUCGUGUCUUUUUCCAGAAACCAGAAAUCAGGUUUCAAUAUGAAACCUUGAUUUUAUUUCCCUCAAUCCCAUAAUGGAGUUGGGCCACUUUCAUUUGGGCUUUUGGAAAUUGGACUUGGAGCUCAGGAAGAACGAUCCAUCAGACGGGAAGUAUAAAACUACGGUUGAGGUACUGCUGGGGACCACGGAAACGAGUAGUGACGAGGAUUUCACUAUUACAAUGAUCACCUAAGUUAAUGUUAAGUUGUAACAAGUUUAAG